GCCAGCGCCCAGCCAGCUAGGGCAGUUGCCCAGGCUCUUCCUUCUCUCAUCUUGAACUUCAAAAUCUCAUCACAAUGGUCUCUCACUCAUGAAAUCGAAAUUGCUUCAGGGAGUAGUCGCAGAACAAAUAUAGUUGUGGUUUAUGAAUCAGUGAAGAAUUGUGUCCGAGUUUAUCGUUUCGUGCUAUGCACACCAAGUGUUCGGUGAAAUGCCUGAACCAUAUUCUUUUGUUUUUCUAUGUUGAAAUCUCUUGAUUGCAGGUCGGAGUUGCUGUUACCGUGUUGUGAUCGAUUGUAGUUGGAAAAUUGAUAGAGAAUUGGUGUUAUAUCAACCGUUUAACAUCUUUCAAAUCAAACAUGUGUAAGUGUUGAAAUCUUUUGAUUGCAGGUCGGAGUUGCUAUUACCGUGUUGUGAUCGAUUGUAGUUGGCAAAUUGAUAGAGAAUUGGUGUUAUAUCAACCGUUUAACAUAUUUCAAAUCAAACAUGUGUAAGUUAUACCUAUGCGAAUUGCAUUUCAAAAACCGGUACACUAUUAGUUGCUGAAUACAAUUAUAUAUUCCCAUGGGAUGAGGACCUUCUUGUCGAUAAUUUUGACCCGAAAAGGUAUAUAUCUAUUGUGAAACAAGAAGGGCUAGAGAUAUCACCGCCUGUACUUGAUCCUAGUAAAUCCGAAAUCUAUCAUCCACUCACAGCUCGAAUAGAAGGAUCCAAAGUGCACGGGUUAACCUCUUCAUCCUUAUUAUCAUAUAACUAAUGCAGUGUUGGACUAAUGAGCUAGAUUAUUACAUUCUUCCUUGUUAGCUUGUAGGCUAUAUUUUAAAAUAUAUGUUCACACACUCACACAGUUACAAGAAAGAAGGUGUGAUGACAGUAGCACUUCUCCUCCUUUCUUAGGGUAAAAAAUUGCAAUAUGCUGUGUGAUUUUCUUUUAACUCCAUCACUAAAUCAUUUGUGAUGUCAAAUAUAUUUUAAAUUUAAUAUGUAAUGAACUUGUUUUG